GACGAACGCUGGCGGCGUGCUUAACACAUGCAAGUCGAACGGAAAGGCCCUGCUUUUGUGGGGUGCUCGAGUGGCGAACGGGUGAGUAACACGUGAGUAACCUGCCCUUGACUUUGGGAUAACUUCAGGAAACUGGGGCUAAUACCGGAUAGGAGCUCCUGCUGCAUGGUGGGGGUUGGAAAGUUUCGGCGGUUGGGGAUGGACUCGCGGCUUAUCAGCUUGUUGGUGGGGUAGUGGCUUACCAAGGCUUUGACGGGUAGCCGGCCUGAGAGGGUGACCGGCCACAUUGGGACUGAGAUACGGCCCAGACUCCUACGGGAGGCAGCAGUCGGGAAUAUUGCACAAUGGGCGGAAGCCAUCUACGGAAGCGCCGCGUGAGUGAUGACGGCCUUCGGGUUGUAAACCGCUUUCGCCUGUAACGAAGCGUGAGUGACGGUAAUGGGUAAAAAAGCACCGGCUAACUCCGUG
rnacentral:rRNA from 1 species